AAGUGAAAUUUGUCGCGGAAACUACUCAUUUGCAUAACUCGUCUAUUUGUCAGCAUGCAUUCAGCGAAAUUUUUCAGUGAGCCUGCUGUUAUUUACGAGCUGAUCUAAGUCACGGAGAUCGGCUGCGAAAUUUUGUUGUGAAAUCGUGAAGAUCGUUCGGCACUUCCGCGGUAAGCUUUAGUCUCCCCGAACCAUCGAGCAGAGCACGGAACGCGUCCGCCAUCUUUGGUGCCAGCCCCAGCUUUGGAAUAUCACCUGUACCCCAGAUUCAGUUUAGACCAGCCCCGCCCAAAAGAGUUCCUGAACCAAAGAAAGUCCGAAG
rnacentral:misc_RNA from 1 species